GGGAGAUGGGAAAGUCCGAUCGUACGAUGAUUCGUACGAUCGGAUCUUUGCAUCUAUGGCCAGCUUUAGUGUCUGAGCCUUCUCAUUCUGAUUAAACUAGUCCCUCUGGCCUCAUUUAAUGACUUUAGAAGAUAGGAUUAACUUCUAUGGGAGGGGUUUAGUUAUCAAAUUUACACCUAAAAGGUGUCUCUUUAGCUCUGAAACAAAUUAUGGUUAGUAGAUAUAUAUUCACAUACAGUGGGUAUUAUUAGCCAAAAUAACGUCUCAUUUUACAUAGUACAAUCACUGAAUAAAAGGACAUUCGGCGACAGUUUAUUAAAAGAAAUGUUUAUUUACUGCAAAUGUAGAUCAGUCACAUUCAAAAGGUUCCCCGUAGGUAAAUACAUAUCAAUGCCUUUACUGUGGCUGAGCAACAACAACAUAUACGUAACUAGCUAUCGGGAUUGCUAAGAAGUGUUUUGGUUUGCUUCUACCCACGUGAUAGCGUGACAUCACCGAGCUGCGGUGGGCGGGAGCUAAGGCUGUGUAAAUGACUUGUGUGUACGUUUGCUACGUGAUAAGAAGAUAAAGAGGGUUCAAACCGGUCUGGGCAGAUUGGUCGAGACACUCCCCUGCCUCAGAUGCUCUUUCCCAAAAUAACUGCAGUGGGGAAGCCAGGCCAAAGUACACCUAGAUGAAGAACAGACAGACUACUGAACAUUCCCCAGAAUUAACUUUCCUGAAGCACUUGCUGCCUCUAGCAGAAACUUGAAUGAAGCUAGAAAGAAGAUCCCUUUUAGUUGAAAUAUGAUAUCAAGAAUAAAUAAAACAUUGUAUUAUUGUUAUCUAGUAUUUAUAAUGCUACAACAUAUUACACAGCACGGUAUAAUAAGUGUGUACAUUCAACAUACAGAUUUACAUACAGUGCAAAACAGACAAUAACUAAUACAAGAGUUAAAGAGGACCCUGUCCAAAAGUGUUUACAGUCAAAAAAAGCAAGCAGAAUAAGGUGUGAAUAUUCUCAGUCCUAUAUCCUGUAUUGGUCUGUAUUUGAGCAAAUUCUGUUUUUCAUGUGUACAUCCUUCUACUGUACAGCACCACAGAAUAUGUUGGCACUAUACAAAUGAUUAAUGUUAAUAAUUCUAAGUGUUCACAGCUAGGGUGAUUUCAGCAGGCUUUCACUACCUUCAAUAUAGGGGCUCAGGUGCGUUAGAUGCAGGGGUGCAUGUGCCUGUUCAUAUGGAAGUAAAGAAAAAAACAAAGGGGCGUCAUUAAUCUUCCAUCACGUUUUUCCUAUCAAUUGGGAUGGGGGUGGGAGAGAGUUGAAACAGAUCAGGAAGCAGCAUGUGGCAGGAACAGCUCCUCAUUAACACAUUUUUCUUGUUGAUAAGUCUUAGUGCCUGCCUGAAUGGAGUAUUGGCCAGUAAGUCCCUGGAGCCCUCUGCAGCAGACACUGCACACUUCAACCUCAGGGCAGAGCAGGGAAAUGAUAAUUAAGCUCUCCCACCCAUCCCCCUGCCCAGCAUAACAAUGAGAACAGCAGCCAGACAAAGAGAUUAAUGGUCUUCCCAUAUAGCUCCCUUUCUCUUGUGUUGGCCAAAAUCAUUUUUGCAUUACUGCUGAGAAUAUACACUUGGGGAUUAACCAAUUGCAGUCGGAGAAGUUUAGCAUACUUGCACUGUUUUAACUGUGGGUGGGAAGCAUAGUUCAUCUCUGAGUAGCCUAGACACCUUUAGAGGCAGUUUCCAGGGUUUCCCACACACAUUAUUUUCAGAUUGGUGGUCAGUAAAAACCAGUUACCCCUGUAUUGGUUGUUAUGAUAAUCAGCUGGACCCUGCUAGUACACUUGUGGGGUCAGGCAAUUGUAUUUAGUAGCAGCAGCUGGACAUUUUCGCCCUUAACCAUAAUGUUAAAUUUAUUUGGGUUUAAAAAAAAAGAAAAGUCCAUCCUCUCUAUAUGUAAAGUGAUAAAUACACAUCUAGGCAUCUAGCUUCUUACUACUGAUAAAAUACAGGGUCAUUGUGAUCCACUCAUUUCGUCAUCAUAUAACUGCAUUGUUUUUGUGACUAGCAUGUAGGGUUGCCACCUGGCCGGUAAAAAUGAUGCUUGAGCGCAAUGUUAU